rnacentral:rRNA from 1 species
GGAUUAGAUACCCUGGUAGUCCAUGCCGUAAACGUUGGGCACUAGGUGUGGGGGACAUUCCACGUUUUCCGCGCCGCAGCUAACGCAUUAAGUGCCCCGCCUGGGGAGUACGGCCGCAAGGCUAAAACUCAAAGGAAUUGACGGGGGCCCGCACAAGCGGCGGAGCAUGCGGAUUAAUUCGAUGCAACGCGAAGAACCUUACCAAGGCUUGACAUGUUCUCGAUCGCCACAGAGAUGUGGUUUCCCCUUUGGGGCGGGUUCACAGGUGGUGCAUGGUUGUCGUCAGCUCGUGCCG